AUAGCUCAGGGACAUCUGUGUCUUCUUAAAACAUCGAUGUUUCAUAAAAUAUUGGCAUCACCACAAGUGCUGGGAAUAAAAUCAUCCCUGGGCCAAUAACUCCAAACUUGCUUAGCAUACG